rnacentral:rRNA from 1 species
UACGUAGGGGGCAAGCGUUGUUCGGAAUUACUGGGCGUAAAGGGCGCGUAGGCGGCAUGGCAAGUCGGGAGUGAAAGGCCUGGGCUCAACCGAGGAACUGCUUUCGAGACUGCCAAGCUAGAGUGCGGAAGGGGCAUCUGGAAUUCCCAGUGUAGCGGUGAAAUGCGUAGAUAUUGGGAAGAACACCUGAGGCGAAGGCGGGAUGCUGGGCCGACACUGACGCUGAGGCGCGAAAGCUAGGGGAGCAAACGGG